rnacentral:tRNA from 1 species
GCCGAGGUGGCGGAAUGGUAGACGCGCUCGCCUCAAGAGCGAGUGAGGGCAACCUCAUGGGGGUUCGACUCCCCCCUUCGGCA